UACGUAGGGGCUAGCGUUAUCCGGAAUUACUGGGCGUAAAGGGUGCGUAGGUGGUUUCUUAAGUCAGAGGUGAAAGGCUACGGCUCAACCGUAGUAAGCCUUUGAAACUGGGAAACUUGAGUGCAGGAGAGGAGAGUGGAAUUCCUAGUGUAGCGGUGAAAUGCGUAGAUAUUAGGAGGAACACCAGUUGCGAAGGCGGCUCUCUGGACUGUUAUUGACGCUGAGGCUCGAAAGCGUGGGGAGCAAACAGGAUUAGAUACCCCGGUAGUCCCUGAGCGGGCU
rnacentral:rRNA from 1 species